rnacentral:tRNA from 1 species
GGGCGUAUAGCUCAGUGGUAGAGUGCAUGCUUAGCAUGUAUGAGGUCCUGGGUUCAAUCCCCAGUACCUCCA